CAGACCAGGUGUGGACCAAGCAAGAUGACGGACUAGAGACAACCCAGAAACUAACUGCAUUCCCCCCCAAAAAAACAGAAACUUUGAGCCAAGUGGCAGAACAGUUCUCCUGGGUUCUCUGCCUUGGGCGCCCCUUCCCAGUAAAGUCUUUAGCUUUGUCAGCAUGUGUGCCUCCUUGAACAAUUCAUUUCCAAGUGUCAGGUAAGAGCUCACUCGAAGGCCCUGGAAGAGGUCUCCCUAUCUGCAACACUGGUAACUCUGCAAGGACCUGCCCUUCCUCAGCCACUUUUCCUCUGGGUGGCAGCAGACUUCUGGAUUUCUUGAAACCUUCUGUGAACAAAAGAAGAUUAAAUCAAAGAAGAACUCUUCCCUUGGUAUGUACACACAUCCCACUUGGGAUAUCCUAGUUACUCCUGGAGUCUGCUUCAGAGUGCUUUGUUUUAUUCAAAGUAGUUAAAUGUUGAUUUCAGCAGGAGGGUGUUCUUCUGUCUUAUUUCUUAGACAUGAUGGUUUGGAAUAUGCGUGACAUAAAAAUGAGUAACUUAAAUUUUUAAUGGCUUUACCUCCCAAACUCUGAUAUGUUUUUGUUUUUUCCUGAUUCUCCUGCAUGAAUUUGACUUUUGUCACUAGUGCUUUUAUGCCCUCUGCACACUACAAUGUACUCACCAACUACUGAACUUUCGGUCCUGAGGAAAUCAGUCAGUUGCUGAAGAUCUUGGUAUGUAGGUAGGGACAGUCGGCAGUUUCUAUGGAAGGUCUUAUUGUUAAGUCAUGAUCUUUGGCAAUUUCAGUGGUUAGUUGUGGCUGGUCUUUGUGAGUGUCAUAUGGAUGACUCAUAGAUACACGCCUGUUGAGAACAAGCAUAACUGUGGACCCCCAUUGCGCUAGACGUGCACAAAGCCCAAUGAUAGGAGGGUCCACGGAGCAGUAAAAUAGAGUGUUGUUGGGAAUUCUAUUGACUAUUUCCUGGAAUUCAUUUCCAUGGCUGUAACUAUUCUUGAGGAUAUGGAGGAUGCCCUCACCAGACAAAUACUGGUUCUGAUUUUCCUAAACUGGGAAGAAAAGGGAAGAGAGAGAGUAUUACAAUGCCAAGGUGUGGUGAAAACGGAAAACAAGUUGACAUUUGCUGUUCCUUUGCCUCUUUCCUAUCCCACAAUGUUUCUGACCCUGGGGGCGUUUGAUUGUCCAGCAAAACAUCUCUCUCUCUGACCUGAAAUAUACAAGACAAGGUUUUGUAUUGCUUUGGAAAUACACCUCUCCAUGCUGGGAUUUGAAAUCAGAAACACUGUUAAGAAAGAGCAAGAUGCAAGGGGAUUGCAUCAGAUAUUCACUUGAUGAAGUGUUGCAUAAACCAGACAGUUGGUAUCAAAUGCCUUGAUAAACUAUUUUAAAUGGUUCCCAUUUAAAAAAUAUACCCCUCUGAAGGGAUUUGCUUAUGACUUUCACCAUUUUGCUUUCAUUUAUUUCAAGUAGUUUUAAAAAUUAAGUAUAUCUAUAAGCAUAAGCCAAGCUCAGCGUUUAGGUUUUAAAAAAAUCGAUGUGCUUGUCCAUGAAUAUUUGAUCCCUAGCUAGUCACCUGAUGUCCUUGUUGUGGCUAUCAGAAUAAUAUUGGCUUAGCUGGAAUAUGGACAGGUGUGUCCAUCAGAACCCAAAACACUUGAAUUUUCCAACAGUGAGUAUGUUGGAUGUUUCUCUUUGUGUGUGCUAAUGGUAUGAACUGAUUUUGCAGAAUCACUGCAGCAAGUUGUAAAUGAUGUAUGAAAUGAAAAAUUCCUGUCCAGUGCACAGAGUGAAUAUAUACAGUUCCAUGCAAUCACUGCAGUGCUGGGCUAUUUGUUUUAAUAUUUCCUUCAGACACAGAGUUAUUUAUUUAUUUUUUUUUUGGUGAGUCAUAUCCAGAUGCUUACCAUGGGCACAAAGCACCAGUUUCCUUCAUAGACAUUUCGAAGGAAUUUCAGUCAUGUGUAAGUAUACCUAAAUUAAUAAAAUAAUGGAUUUGACCUCAAAAUAUUAUUUGAUGAAAAUCAUAGCAAUAUACUUGUUUUGAAAAAGUGGGGAAAUAUCAAAGAGUCCAAAUAGUAAAAUUAGAACUAGUUUAAUCUCACUAUGGAAAAAUAUCCUUUGUUUACUUUUAGUAUAUACCUUUUAAGGCUUUUAUCCAAGAUUAAAUUAUGUUCUUAAAAAAAAUUAUGUUGUCUUACUUGUAAAUUUUUAUUCCCAGUUACUGAUAAGGCUUGAAUAUCUUUUUCCAUGCUCUUCUACAAUGUGACUUUUUAUUACUGCCUACUAUUCCAUUACAUGAGUGUAGCAGAAAGAAGUUUUAUCCAUUCCUUUGAACAAUGAAUAUUUAGGUUGUUUCUAAACUUGCAAUUUCCUAUAUAGGUACUGCAAUGUUUAUGUGAUUUCAUUAACUUUGGUCUAUAUUUGGUAAUACCUUCCCUCUGUUCCUCUCUUUCAAAACGUUCUGGGCCCUUGUAGUUGUUGUUCAUGUUGGAGUUUGAUGAUGAUUGGGUCAUAUUUAUAAAUUAUUGGAAUAGAAUUGAUAUCUCUAUAAUAUUGAGUCAUUCUACUGGAGAAGAUACUAUGUGCCUAGAGUUAUUGGUAGAUUUCCUAACAUGGAUUCAUCCUUGAAUACCAGAAAUAAGCAUCCUUAAGUCAGAAUGAAAUUUUACUUAGUUUCUGCAUAUAAUGCCUAAGUUUUAUCUGUAAAGUUCUCUUUUUGUGCCAUUUUUAUUAAUUUCUUGAAUAAGGGUAAAUACAGCCUCAAAGUAUAAAUUAACAAGAUUCUUCCAUCCCCAUACAACGCCCUCCUCUCCCCCCAUACAAUGCUCUGGAGGAGUUAAUAGCGUGAAGUUACUUCCCUCUUCUUUACAUCUGACGGAAUUGCUGUCUGCAUCUGGCUUACUUGGGGAGAAGUUCCUUGAUACCUCUAAUUUUCUCUCAAGAUUAUUUUGUGAUUAGGUGGAUUUCUUUCUUUUAUUGAAUCAACUUUGGCAAUUUACAUUUUCCUAUCAAAAUAUCAUUUAGGAGUUCCCGUCGUGGCUCAGUGGUUAACGAAUCUGACUAGGAACCAUGAGGUUGCGGGUUUGAUCCCUGGCCUCGCUCAGUGGGUUGAGGAACCAGCGUUGCCAUGGCUGUGGUGUGGGUCGCAGACACGGCUCAGAUCUGGCGUUGCUGUGGCUCUGGUGUAAGCUGGUGGCUACAGCUCUGAUUGGACCCCUAGCUUGGGAACCUCCACAUGCCGUGGGUGCGGCCCUAGAAAAGACAGAAAGACAAAAAAAUAUGUAUCUAUCAUUCAUCUGGAGGUUGAGUUUGUUAUUAUAGAUGCAUAUGAAAUGUUAUGUUACAUUUUUAAAAAAUGAUCCUAUAAAUAUUAUUAAAUCUUUUUUCAUUCUUCUAAAAAUCUUUUAUUAUAGUUGAUUUACAGUGUUGUGUCCCUUUCUGCCAUACAGCACAGUGACCCAGUCAUUCAUAUAUAUAUAUAUAUAUAUAUAUACACACACACAUUCUUUAUACCAUAAUAUCUUCCAUCAUGUUCCAUCACAAGUGAUUGGAUAUAGUUCCCUGUGCUAUACAGCAAGACUCAUUGAUUAUCCAUCCCAAAUGCAAUAGUUUGCAUCUACUAACUCCAAACUCCCAGUCCACACCCUCCCUUUCCUUCCCCCUUGGCAACCACAAGUCUGUUCUCUAUGUCCAUGAGUUUAUUUCUGUUCUUUGAUAGGUUCAUUUGUGCCAUAUUUUAGAUUCCACGUAUAAGUGAUAUCAUAUGGUAUUUGUCUUUCUGUUUCUGACUUAGUAUGAGAAUCUCUAGUUGCAUCCAUGUUGCUGCAAAUGGCAUUGUUUUGUUCUUUUUUAUGGCUGAGUAGUAUUCCAUUGUGUAUAUAUACCACAUCUUCUUAAUCCAUUCAUCUGUCGAUGGACAUUUAGGUUGUUUCCAUGUCUUGACUGUUGUGAAUAGUGCUGCAGUGAACAUAGGGGUGCAUGUAUCUUUUUGAAUGAAAGUUUUGUCUGGAUAUAUGCUCAGGAAUGGGACUGCUGGAUUAUAAGGUGGUUCUAUAUUUGGUUUUCUGAAGUACCUCUAUCUGUUUUCCACAGUGGUUGUACCAAUGUACAUUUCCACCAACAGUGGAAGAGGGUUCCCUUUUCUCCAUACCCUCUCCAGUAUUUGUUAUUUGUAGACUUAUUAAUGAUAGCCAUUCUUAUCUGUGUGAUGUGGUAUCCAUUGUAGUUUUGAUUUGCAUUUCUCUAAUAAUUAGUGAUGUUGAGCAUUUUUUUGUGUGUGAGGAUUAUUUUUUUAUUUUUUUUUAUUUUUAAUAUUUUUUUUAAUUUUCCCACUGUACAGCAGGGGGGUCAGGUUAUCCUUACAUGUGUACAUUACAAUUACAUUUUUUCCCCCCACCCUUUCUUCUGUUGCAACAUGAGUAUCUAGACAUAGUUCUCAAUGCUAUUCAGCAGGAUCUCCUUGUAAAUCUAUUCUAAGUUGUGUCUGAGCAUUGAGCAUUUUUUAAUGUGCCUGUUGGCCAUCUCUAUGUCUUCUUUGGAGAAAUGUCUAUUUAGGUCUCUAUCCACUUUUCAACUGGGUCGUUUGUUGUUGUUGUUUCCCAUUAUAAUUAUUGUUCAUUUAUUUGUUCUUUUUUAAAUUUUUUUGUUAUUUCCCCAAUACAAUUUUUUUUUCUACUGUACAUCUUUUGCUAUUGAGCUGUAUGAGUUGUUUUUAUAUUUUGGAGAUUAAGCCUUUAUCAGUUGCAUCAUUUGUGUAUAUUAUCUCCCAUUCUGUUGGUUGUCUUUUUUUUUUUUUUUUUAAUGGUUUCCUUUGCUGUGCAAAAGCUUGUUAAGUUUAAUAAGAUCCCAUUGGUUUAUUUUUGCUUUUAUUUCUAUUGCCUUGGGAGACUGACCUAAGAAAAUAUUUGUACAGUCGACGUCAGAGAAUGUUUUGCCUACGUUCUAGGAGUUUUAUGGUGUUUGUCCUAUGCGUAAGUCUUGAAGCCAUUUUGAGUUUAUUUUUGCGCAUGGUGUGAGGGGGCAUUUUUUCAUUCUUAAUAUGAGAUAUCAUUUUCUUUGUCUUUGUUGUUUACCAUGUGUCUUAAAACUAACUUUUCAAAAAAUUAUUUAAGUAGUUGAUUUACAGGGUUGUGUUCAUUUCUGCUGUACAGCAAAGUGGCUUGUGUGUGUGUGUGUUUCAUAUUCUUUUCCAUUAUGGUUUGUCAAAGGAUAUUGAAUAUAUUUCCCUGUGCUACACCCUAAGACCUUGUUUAUCCAUCUUAUAUAUAAUAAUUUGCCUUUGCUCAUCUCAAACUCCCAAUCCUUCCCUUCCUUACUUUCCUUUCCCCCUGGGCAAACACAGGACUGUUGUCUAUAUCUGUAAGUAUAUUUUUGUUUCAUGGUUAUAUUGAUUAGUGUUGUACUUUAGAUACCACAUAUAAGUGAUAUCACAUAGUAUUUGUUUUUUUUAUCUUGCUUAGUAUGAUAACCUCUAGAUCCAUUCAUGUUGCUGCAAAUGACAUUAUUUCAUUCUUUUUGAUGGAAGAGUUAUAUUCAAUUAUAUGUAUAUCUCUGCACCAUAUCUUCAUAUCCUUUCAUCUGUUCUUGGACAUUUACAAUGUUUCCAUGCCCUGGCUAUCAUAAAUAGUGCUAUUAUGAACAUAGGGGUACAUGUAUUUUUUCAAAUUACAGUUUUGUCUGGAUAUGUGCCAAGAGUGGGAUUGUUGGAUAUGGCAACUGUAUUUUUAGUUUUUUGAGGAACCUCCAUACAGUAUGGUGAUAAUCAGUUUCUUGAUUAGCUUUGCCACAGGUAGUUGUGAAGAACUAGCUAUUGCAAUUUCUUACUAUUCCCAUAGUUUUUCUAUUUUCUUACUAGCUUCUUAAGUUGCAUGGUUGGUUCAUAUUUCCUAUUCAAAAUAUUUUAAACUAUUAAUUUUCCCAUGGCUUUAUAUUAUCUGUAUCGUAUAAUUUUUUGUAUGUUGUAUUCAUUCAUUAAAAAAAAAUAAUUUGAAGUUCCCAUCAUGGUGCAGUGGAAACGAAUCUGACUAGCAUCCAUGAGGACACAGGUUCGAUCCCUGGCCUCUCUCAGUGAGUUAACGAUCCAGUGUUGCCAUGAGCUGUGGUGUAGCUCACAGACACGGCAUUGCUAUGGCUGUGGUGUAGGCCAGCAGUUACCCCUUGGAUUUGACCCCUAGCCCGGAAACUUCUAUAUGCCAUGGGUGCAGCCCUAAGAAGAAAAUUAAUUAAUUAAUCAAUGUAUUUAAACUUAAUAAUGGAGUUCCCAUCGUGGCGCAGUGGUUAACGAAUCCGACUAGGAACCAUGAGGUUGCGGGUUCGGUCCCUGCCCUUGCUCAGUGGGUUAACAAUCCGGUGUUGCCGUGAGCUGUGGUGUAGGUUGCAGACGCGGCUCGGAUCCUGCGUUGCUGUGGCUCUGACGUAGGCCGGUGGCUACAGCUCCGAUUAGACCCCUAGCCUGGGAACCUCCAUAUGCUGUGGCAGCGGCCCAAAAAAAAAGCCAAAAAAAAAUAAAAAUAAAAAA
rnacentral:lncRNA from 1 species